rnacentral:misc_RNA from 1 species
UUUGUUGUUGAUUAAACAUAAGCAGGAAUCAAACCUGUUGUCUCUUCAUUACAUUACAUUAAUGUGGUAAUAAUCACAAAGAUUACAAAUCAUUUCUAUCAUCUAUGAGUAAAAUUUAACAGCGAAAAGAAUAACAAGAUAUAAUUCCUGCUUAUGUUUAAUCAACAACAAAGCAGGUUGAUGAAACUUAAGUAGUUUGAAAAGCAAAGCAUUAUUACUAACCUUCAUCAAUGUAAAUAAUCACUAAU